ACUCCUACGGGAGGCAGCAGUGGGGAAUCUUGGACAAUGGGGGAAACCCUGAUCCAGCCAUGCCGCGUGAGCGAUGAAGGCCUUAGGGUUGUAAAGCUCUUUCAGGUGGGAAGAUAAUGACGGUACCACCAGAAGAAGCCCGCCGUACAUCCGUGCCAGCAGCCGCGGUAAUACGGAGGGUGCGAGCGUUAAUCGGAAUUACUGGGCGUAAAGCGCAUGCAGGCGGCCUGUUAAGUCAGAUGUGAAAGCCCGGGCUUAACCUCGGAAUUGCAUUUGAAACUGGCAGGCUAGAGUCUUGUAGAGGGG
rnacentral:rRNA from 1 species